rnacentral:tRNA from 4 species
GCCCCCAUAGCUCAGUGGAUAGAGCGCAGGCCUCCGGAGCCUGAGACAGCCGUUCGAGUCGGCUUGGGGGUACCG